CAUGUAGGCGGAUUGGUCAGUUGGAGGUGAAAUCCCGGAGCUCAACUCCGGAACUGCCUUCAAUACUGCCAAUCUAGAAUCUGUAAGGGGGUGGUGGAAUUCCGAGUGUAGAGGUGAAAUUCGUAGACAUUCGGAGGAACACCAGUGGCGAAGGCGACCACCUGGUACAGUAUUGACGCUGAGAUGCGAAAGCGUGGGGAGCAAACA
rnacentral:rRNA from 1 species